ACUGCCGAACCAGCUAACAAGAAAUCUGUCUGCAGCCCUAACCAAAACGCUGUAUACAUUUUCCAGCAAGACCAAGAUGAUGCAGUUGUGACCAAAGAUUGCAUAGCGCCGUGCAGGGGCGCAAGAUGGGGAACUGACCAUCCCGCAUGUGUUAAUUUUAUGGAGUCACGAUCUGCCAUUUUGGUGUGCAAAUUGCGAGCUGUUUGUACACGCGACAUAUGGCGGCGGGAGGCUCUAUCCACGAAAAAGGGGCAAUAAGGAGGGAUGGAUUAUGUAAAAUUGCUUCGGGUGACAACAAAGCCAAUCUGCACUGGUCAUACUGAAAAGGAACAACAUGACUCCUCAGGCUUUUACAUCACUGGUAACCAGCUAUGGAUGGUAUCAAGAACAGGGUCCUGCUGUUAAAUGCAUCAAACAAGUUAUCGAAUGAUUUUUUCGAACUCUAAAGUGUAGGCAGCUUCAGCAGGGAGCUUCCCAUGAGAAGUACAAGUGUAGAUGCCUGCUGCAACGGUAUGACACAAGACCUGUGCUGCCUUAUUCACUCUCAAUUUUUGAGAAGUUGUCAAAGGGACCUCGUGAAAGUUUAGAUGCCAUACGAAUGGGCAUUUGUGAAUCACACUCCCCAAAAAAUCAAAUGUAGGACCAUUUUACAUGUCCAGUGGCCCCCUCUGAAUCCUUAGACAUGUAUCUAAGAAGGUAGUUAUGUAAGUUUGAUCUUGUAUUCUUAGUUAAGGAAAUGAGGCUGAUAAAACUACAAAAGACCUUUUUUUCAUCAAGCAAAAAGUAUGGUUUUCCUCUGAAAUUGCAAGUGUAUUGUACAGUUUCACAUUACUGCAUCCUUUGUCGCAUACAAUCAAUUUCAGAAUCAAGAGACAAGAAAAUUACUUUGCAUAACACCAUCUUCUACCUCUAACAUUUACACACCUUGAUGAGUUGCGUAUUUGUCAAUUUGAGAAGCAAAGAAAAACAGCUGGUUCAUCCAUGUACCGAGGAGCACCUUUGAUGAGGUUGCUCCUGAUUUCAGCUGGAGUGGUAAUACGUGAGAGGAUGUUCUGAAGCCGUUGCACUUUCUCUCUCAGUCGAGAUGUUUUGACUCUUUCCUUGAGCAGAGCUUUUUCGGUUUUCCUAUGAUGAAUGCCAUCUUCAGUUAAGGGACCAUCUACUAUGAUCGUGUGCAACAUUUUUUAGUCAAAGAAUACAUAUAUGCAUAUAUAAAUCAAGCAUCCAUUGGCUGAACCCCCAUAUUGCCCAUUAACUUUAACUCAAAUUCAGCGUUCAGCCAAUGGGCACGUGUAAUGUGUAAUGGGUCCGUGUGAUGACAAAGUCACUGAUGAACUUGAAUGUACAGACAAAGAUUGAUAGGCAAUUUUAAUUGUAUAUACACAUAUAUAAUGAUACAUGUACGUAUAUCUGUAUAUAUUUAUUUUCUUUUGGCCAGUUUUAGUGGACUUUUUUAUGUCCUAUCUGGCUCAAGCUUCCUUUAGCAUCCUCAUUUUUAUCGUUGAGGUGUCACAAGUUUUGGUGGGUUUGGGACCUCAAACAUUGUGGGCACUUCAUUCCAUUUCAGCUUGUUUGGAGGUGAUUGGUAAACUGACUGGGUUCAAAAUAAUUGGAACACAGGCAGAAGUUUGUGUAGAGACACCAUUGGGCUCUCUUCAGAAGAUCCUUCCUGUGGGUGUUUUGAACUUAGAAUUGGCAUCUGUAAUGAAAUGGAAACAUCAAAUAAAAUGUAAGCACAUAGUAAAAUUCAAGCGCAGUUUCUGCGCUUUUGUUGUUUUAACUGUCCAUACUGUCUGUGAAAUAAAGAAAGCUUGAUAAAACUCCUAAAGAAGGUGGUGUGGUUUUCAUCCUUUGUCCAAUAUGCCAGUAGAUAUUUGUAGUGUAUGCCUAGGUGUUUAGUAGAAUGUUAAGCUAAUUACAAUGUACAUGCAUUCACGGGUCAGAGGCUCAUUACAAAUAUGAACGUCAUUAAUUUAGGGGCUCAAUCUAGCUUGAGCUAUGUGUUGAUUUUUGCCGCUAUUGUAUGCCUAUUUUUUGGUAAAUUUCACUUUGCACUAUUUAAAUUACUUCUUGCCUUUCUUUGUUCUUGGGAAAAUAUGAGAAUGAUAGUUCCGAGCUUUUCUUGAACCUGCUUUUGCUGUUGAUGCAUAGACCUGGAGGAGAAAAAUGGUUGAUGGCUGCACACGUUGACGACAUUGUGCUUCGCGAUCCAUGCAUACACAGAGCGCCGCCCAGAAACGCGCAUAUACUGUGGCGCAAUAUCACACCAAAAUGGCGCCCAUGGCGAUUACGCGUUUCAGUGGAGAGUUGCCCAUCUUGCGCCGCGGAGCGGCGCUAUACAAUCUUUGGUUGUGACGUAGCUUCUUGCAUAUUUAUAAAUCAAUGCUGAAGAACAGUUUCAUACGGAAAUUGUGUAUUGCUUACCUGUUAAGCAUCAGCUUUGCUAUGGCCCUCAAUCCGGGGUUCUUCUUCAGCGAUGCCACUAGCCUAUGCAAAAAAAUCUGAAAAUCAACAAAUCCACAGCGCUUUGCACGGUGUCGGUUUUAUGCGUAUUAAUGCAUGGGUCUGCGUGCAUGUACAUGUACACAAUGUGCAUCUUCAUCGUGUAGUCAUCUAUAAAAACAAAAAAAGUUCUUUCUUGAUCAUCGCUGGUCGAUCACAGAAAUGAGUUGCAGCCUAUAUGUAGGCCAGCCUGCUGUAUUUUACUCAAAAAGAUACGUACUUUUUUUUUUUUUAGUUUGGCCGAUCAGGCAGGCCAUGUCAUAAAUUUGCUUGAUCGAAUUGGAUCAACACUUGCCAAAGAUUUUGUAGCGUGUCCCACUGCACAGGGUUCGACGCUGUAAGAACGACACUCAGGUGCAACUCACAAAAAUCUCUCCUUUAUUCUGUCGCAAUCUGACAGCACCACAAUGUACUCUUCCGACAAGCUCUUCACAACAUGGCGCCUGACAGCA